AGGGAUCUUCCGCAAUGGACGAAAGUCUGACGGAGCAACGCCGCGUGAGUGAUGAAGGUUUUCGGAUCGUAAAACUCUGUUAUUAGGGAAGAACAAAUGUGUAAGUAACUGUGCACAUCUUGACGGUACCUAAUCAGAAAGCCACGGCUAACUACGUGCCAGCAGCCGCGGUAAUACGUAGGUGGCAAGCGUUAUCCGGAAUUAUUGGGCGUAAAGCGCGCGUAGGCGGUUUCUUAAGUCUGAUGUGAAAGCCCACGGCUCAACCGUGGAGGGUCAUUGGAAACUGGGAAACUUGAGUACAGAAGAGGAAAGUGGAAUUCCAUGUGUAGCGGUGAAAUGCGCAGAGAUAUGGAGGAACACCAGUGGCGAAGGCGACUUUCUGGUCUGUAACUGACGCUGAUGUGCGAAAGCGUGGGGAUCAAACAGGAUUAGAUACCCUGGUAGUCCACGCCGUAAACGAUGAGUGCUAAGUGUUAGGGGGUUUCCGCCCCUUAGUGCUGCAGCUAACGCAUUAAGCACUCCGCCUGGGGAGUACGACCGCAAGGUUGAAACUCAAAGGAAUUGACGGGGGCCCGCACAAGACA
rnacentral:rRNA from 1 species